UACAGAGGUGGCAAGCGUUGUUCGGAAUUACUGGGCGUAAAGGGCGCGUAGGCGGCCCGUCAAGUCCCGUGUGAAAGCCCCCGGCUCAACCGGGGAACUUCACGGGAAACUAGCAGGCUUGAGUUCGGGAGAGGGAAGCGGAAUUUCGGGUGUAGCGGUGAAAUGCGCAGAUAUCCGAAGGAACACCGGUGGCGAAGGCGGCUUCCUGGACCGACACUGACGCUGAGGCGCGAAAGCUAGGGGAGCAAACGGG
rnacentral:rRNA from 1 species